rnacentral:rRNA from 1 species
UACGUAGGGUCCGAGCGUUGUCCGGAAUUACUGGGCGUAAAGCGCGCGCAGGCGGCCCGCGAGGUGUCACGUGAAAGCCCCGGGCUCAACCCGGGAGGGUCGUGGCAAACCGGCGGGCUUGAGGCCGGUAGAGGUGGGUGGAACUCCUGGUGGAGUGGUGAAAUGCGUAGAGAUCAGGAAGAACACCCGUGGCGAAGGCGGCCCACUGGGCCGGUGCUGACGCUGAGGCGCGAAGGCGUGGGGAGCGAACAGG